AGAGACUGAUCAUGGCUCAGAUUGAACGCUGGCGGCAUGCCUAACACAUGCAAGUCGAGCGAGAAAGCACUUCGGUGUGAGUAGAGCGGCGGACGGGUGAGUAACGCGUAGGAAUUUGCCCAGUAGUGGGGGACAACAUGUGGAAACGCAUGCUAAUACCGCAUACGCCCUAUGGGGGAAAGCAGGGGAUCUUCGGACCUUGCGCUAUUGGAGAAGCCUGCGUCGGAUUAGCUAGUUGGUGGGGUAAAGGCCCACCAAGGCGACGAUCCGUAGCUGGUCUGAGAGGAUGAUCAGCCACACUGGGACUGAGACACGGCCCAGACUCCUACGGGAGGCAGCAGUGGGGAAUAUUGGACAAUGGGGGAAACCCUGAUCCAGCAAUGCCGCGUGUGUGAAGAAGGCCUGCGGGUUGUAAAGCACUUUCAGCAGCGAGGAAAAGCCUAGGGUUAAUAUCCAUGGGUCUUGACGUUAACUGCAGAAGAAGCACCGGCUAACUUCGUGCCAGCAGCCGCGGUAAUACGAAGGGUGCAAGCGUUAAUCGGAAUUACUGGGCGUAAAGCGCGCGUAGGCGGUUAGAUAAGUUGGGUGUGCAACCACUGGGCUCAACCUGGGAACUGCAUUUAAAACUGGCUAACUAGAGUAUGGUAGAGGAGAGUGGAAUUUCAGGUGUAGCGGUGAAAUGCGUAGAUAUCUGAAGGAACACCAGUGGCGAAGGCGGCUCUCUGGACCAAUACUGACGCUGAGGUGCGAAAGCGUGGGUAGCAAACGGGAUUAGAUACCCCGGUAGUCCACGCCGUAAACGAUGUCAACUAGCCGUUGGGGGUAUUAAAACCUUUAGUGGCGCAGCUAACGCGAUAAGUUGACCGCCUGGGGAGUACGGUCGCAAGAUUAAAACUCAUAGGAAUGGACGGGGGCCCGCACAAUCUGUGGAUCAGGUGGGUUAAGUUGAUGCAACGCGUAAAACCUUACCAGCUCUUGACAUCCCGUGAACUUUCCAGAGAUGGAUUGGUGCCUUCGGGAACACGGUGACAGGUGCUGCAUGGCUGUCGUCAGCUCGUGUCGUGAGAUGUUGGGUUAAGUCCCACAACGAGCGCAACCCUUGUCCUUAGUUGCCAUCAGUUCGGCUGGGAACUCUAAGGAGACUGCCGGUGACAAACCGGAGGAAGGUGGGGAUGACGUCAAGUCAUCAUGGCCCUUAUGGGCAGGGCUACACACGUGCUACAAUGGGCGGUACAGAGGGUUGCAAACUCGCGAGGUGGAGCUAAUCCCAGAAAACCGUUCGUAGUCCGGAUUGCAGUCUGCAACUCGACUGCAUGAAGUCGGAAUCGCUAGUAAUCGCGGAUCAGAAUGCCGCGGUGAAUACGUUCCCGGGCCUUGUACACCCCGCCCGUCACACCAUGGAAGUAUGUUGUACCAGAAGUAGGUAGCUUAACCUUCGGGAGGGCGCUUACCACGGUGUGGUCAAUGACUGGGGUGAAGUCGUAACAAGGUAACCGUA
rnacentral:rRNA from 1 species